CACGUAGGGUGCGAGCGUUGUCCGGAAUUAUUGGGCGUAAAGAGCUCGUAGGCGGUGUGUCGCGUCGGCCGUGAAAACCUGCAGCUUAACUGUGGGCUUGCGGUCGAGACGGGCAUCACUGGAGUUCGGCAGGGGAGACUGGAAUUCCUGGUGUAGCGGUGAAAUGCGCAGAUAUCAGGAGGAACACCGGUGGCGAAGGCGGGUCUCUGGGCCGAUACUGACGCUGAGGAGCGAAAGCGUGGGGAGCGAACAGG
rnacentral:rRNA from 1 species